rnacentral:misc_RNA from 1 species
UAAAUUUUCUUUCCUUUUAAAAAUUUGCAAUGUAACAAAAAGAAAUUGUGUAAAAAAUUUGAACAGUUAAGGAGCAUACUAUUUACUUUGAGAAAAGUGAGUACCUAAGCUUAUAACUGUAUAUUUUGGCAAGUACCAGAGGGCUUUUUUGUAAAUUACCCUAUUCUUUAAGUACUGACUAAGAGCAUACCUUCAAAGCACCUUUACUGGUCAUAAUUUUAUUUAUUGCUCAUUCACCAAUGAACCAUGUAGGGCUUGGUUCUAGUUUUCUUGCAUAUUGUUUCUUAGGUAGAAGUUGAGCGUUGAAACAAUCUUGGUACUGGGGAUUGGGUUAAUCUGUAAGUUGCAGUGAUAGUUUGCAUAUACCAUGUUAUAUAUCAUUGGCAUGUCCCACUUAAGAACUAAAUGACAGAUUAGAUCAUCAUGCAGUGAACUAAGUGAUUCUUGCUAUAGUGUGGUGCAUUCUUUAUAUCAUUCUUUAAAUUUGGUCGUUACAUCAGUUUAGAUGCUGUAAAAAGUUAUGAUUUCCAACUUGUUCCUAUCUUGGCAUCAAAUAUUUCUCAUCAUGUUUAUUCCAAUGCUCAAAAUGGAUUAAUUGUGUCAAUUAUCUUUUGAGAACUUAAAUCUAUCAAAAAUGUUCUCUUGGAUUAAAUUAUUUGAAUGCCAUGGCUAUUGGCUAAGUAAUAAGUGCGUGUUGAAUAGAACAAUGAACUAAAUAUUCAUUUGUUUAGAUUAUAUUAUAUUCAUUUAUGUUAUACCAAACAUGCACUGAAGUGCUGAGGUGGUAAUUAGGGAAUAGGAUAGCUCAAAGUUUAUUAAUUACUAGUUUCUGUUCUGUGCUGCUUGUAAUUUCUACUGUAACUAGGAUUAUAUCAUUUUUCUCCUUUUCUCUUUUAAAAUG